rnacentral:tRNA from 1 species
CUAAUUUGACAGAAUUAAAUGUAUCAAAUUUAGAAUUUGAAAAUGUGAACCAAUUAGUA